GCGCCGCCAGCCGCCCUCCCCGCGCACGCCGCCGCGCGCCACCCUCCCCACCCGUGCCGCCGCACUGCUAACCAUCCACCCCACGCGACUCCGGCGGCCGCCCCAUCCCACCCAUGCGACUAUGGUGGACCUCUGUUCUUCCUGGAGCUCGCUGGAUCCGGUCCUCGGAGCUACGGAUUCGGUCCUGGGAGCUACGGAUCCGGUCAUGGAGAGCACCUAGCCCCGGCCUCGAUCCACCUCAAUGCAGCCAAGGGCGCCCGACGGCGGCGCUCCAAUCCAAGGCGUCGCAGCUGCACUCCAACGACUCUCCUCCGCCGACAUCGUCUUGCGCCAGGCCACGGUACCAGGGAGCACGGGCUGCUCCCCCAUCAACGCCGCCGAGGACCAUCUGAAAGCACAGGGGAGCUGCAGCCUUUAGUCUCUGUCUCCACCAUCUGAAUUUCUUGAACAGAAAAUGAGCCAAUAUACUCAUGAUAAAUAUCAAUUGUAUCAGUGCAAAAGUGCCCAUCCAGAAGCAAGGUGAGUAUAGCUCUUGCCAUUCUUGCAUAUGGUGCAAUAUAGUAGAAUUUGUAAUAAUGGGUGGCAAAUUUCAUGUCAAAAGCCAAUGGAGGAAUACAUUCUUGAGGAAUCAAUUUUCUCUUGUGAAAAUAUAGGAGCUAGUAGCUACAAUUAUGUCACUGGUACUGAGAAAAGUAGAAACAAACAUGUUCUUGUGAGGACUGAAUUUUAACUAUUUCUUUCAAGCAUUAUCUAAAACUAUAGAUAAGCUGCUAACCGUAACCAUGGUGAAGUUGACCUAGCAUGUUAAUUGUCAGGAAAAAGAACAAUUAACACCAAUUAUUGUGCCUUUUAAAGUAGUGACAUGGACCACAAGUGCUCAAAUCUUUCACAUUGGCGUUCUCUCUUACCUGAUGGUUUGCUGCCACAUGAACCAAAACUGGCUAACUAAUAUUCAUAUGCUGACAGAAACAUAUUCUGUGGAGCUCGGAGCUGUUGCUGCUUCUCCUAUGUGCAUAUUGCACAACUCUUCUGAACCCCUCUACUGGCUCUCUCAGAAAUACAACCUUGAUCUGACAGAACUGAACCAUAGAUGUUUCAUUUGGUUUUUGGAAUGUGCACGCAUUUAGAAGAAUCUCACAUGCACGGUUGCAAACCAUCUAAAGUUCAACCAACAAGCUCAAUAUAGUACUGUUAGAUCCAUUCAAAUUACUCUAGCACCCAACUUAGCAACCUGAUAAUAACAGCACGCUAGCUGAUGCCUAACUCUGCAGGGACCAUACAGUUGGAGAAAAACAGGUAAUCUGAAAAUGAAUGUCUACAUUUGGCUGGCUACAAACUCAUACUCCACAGCAGCUUCUCAUAUUUUUCUCCACUUGCCUAAUACAUGGUUGUUAUAUUUUUUAGAAAGUGUUGGGCAGUCUUUGACUUCAGUCUCUAGAAAGAGGUUGUCCACAUAACAUGGUGGGUGUGCUCUAAUGUUGGCAAGCCAUUUCUUUUGGUUUCUUAGUUCCUAGAAAUGGUUGUGUGCACAAACCUUAGUAUGUUUAACACAAAAUACUAGUAUUGCUUGCUAGGAGUGCAUUUAUGUAAUCUUUUGCACUUGUGCUUGGAUUUGAUAAACUUGUUGUAAUAAACAUGUGAAUGAUGAUGAACAUGUGACUUGUCGUUGUAAUAUAUUGUCAUUUGUGGUUCACCAUUAUGGUUGUGAUAUAUUGUGAGGCUUGAUA